AUCCUUUGGUUCAUGAGCAUGAUGAUCGGGUGUUCGCACUAUUGUAUAAGAUGUGCCUCUCUCUAAACCUUGUUAUGACUUUGGCACAUUACCCAUCUGACA